UACGUAGGGUGCAAGCGUUAAUCGGAAUUACUGGGCGUAAAGCGUGCGCAGGCGGUUUUGUAAGUCUGUCGUGAAAGCCCCGGGCUCAACCUGGGAAUUGCGAUGGAGACUGCAAGGCUUGAAUCUGGCAGAGGGGGGUGGAAUGCCGCGUGUAGCAGUGAAAUGCGUAGAGAUGCGGCGGAACACCGAUGGCGAAGGCAGCCCCCUGGGCUCAAAUUGACGCUGAGGCACGAAAGCGUGGGGAGCAAACAGG
rnacentral:rRNA from 1 species